ACAAGUCAUUACUUAGGUCAGCUC
rnacentral:siRNA from 1 species